UGAAUACGAGACGCUAAGGCGUCGAAGUAGUGUAUAUCAGACUUCCAAGAAAAGCUUGCACUGUCAUAGAUAAAAAAUGCCUGUACCAUAACCGACACAGGUGGGUAGGUAGAGUAUACUAAGGGGCGCGAGAUAACUCUCUCUAAGGAACUCGGCAAAAUAACUCCGUAACUUCGGGAGAAGGAGUGCCUUAUUUAUAAGGUUGCAAUAACAAGAUCCAAGCAACUGUUUAUCAAAAACACAGGUCUCCGCUAAGUCGUAAGACGAUGUAUGGGGGCUGACGCCUGCCCAGUGCCAGAAGGUUAAAGAAGUUGGUUAGCAAUUGCGAAGCUGAUAACUGAAGCCUGGUGAACGGCGGCCGUAACGAUAACGGUCCUAAGGUAGCGAAAUUCCUUGUCGGGUAAGUUCCGACCCGCACGAAAGGCGUAAUGAUUUGGAUACUGUCUCGGAGAGGGGCUCGGUGAAAUAGACUUGUCUGUGAAGAUGCGGACUACCUGCACCAGGACAGAAAGACCCUAUGAAGCUUUACUGUAAUUUGAAAUUGAAAUUGGACUUUAUUCGCGCAGCAUAGGUGGGAGGCGUUGAUUAUAAUCUUGCGGGAUUAUUGGAGCCAUCAGUGAGAUACCACUCUUGUAAUGUUAGAUUUCUAACUUUGAAUCAUUAUCUGGUCAAAGAACAGUUUCAGGCGGGCAGUUUGACUGGGGCGGUCGCCUCCUAAAUGGUAACGGAGGCGUACAAAGGUUUCCUCUGAACGGUUAGAAAUCGUAUCUAGAGUGUAAAGGCAUAAGGAAGCUUGACUGUGAGACCUACAAGUCGAGCAGGGACGAAAGUCGGUCUUAGUGAUCUGACGGUACUGAGUGGAAAGGCCGUCACUCAACGGAUAAAAGUUACUCUAGGAUAACAGGCUGAUCUCCCCCAAGAGUUCACAUCGACGGGGAGGUUUGGCACCUCGAUGUCGGCUCAUCGCAUCCUGGGGCGGUAGUACGUCCCAAGGGUUGGGCUGUUCGCCCAUGAAAGCGGUACGCGAGCUGGGUUCAGAACGUCGUGAGACAGUUCGGUCCAUAUCCGGUGUAGGCGUUAGAAUAUUGAGAGGAGCCUUCUUUAGUACGAGAGGACCGAGAAGGACAUACCUCUGGUGUACCAGUUAUCGUGCCAACGGUAAACGCUGGGUAGCUAUGUAUGGAGUGGAUAACCGCUGAAAGCAUCUAAGUGGGAAGCCCACCUCAAGAUAAGUA
rnacentral:rRNA from 1 species